rnacentral:rRNA from 1 species
CAGAGGUCCCAAGCGUUGUUCGGAUUCACUGGGCGUAAAGGGUGCGUAGGUGGUCGGGUAAGUCUGAUGUGAAAUCUCGGAGCUCAACUCCGAAACUGCAUUGGAUACUAUUCGGCUUGAGAGUUGGAGGGGGGACUGGAAUUCUCGGUGUAGCAGUGAAAUGCGUAGAUAUCGAGAGGAACACCAGUGGCGAAGGCGAGUCCCUGGACAACUUCUGACACUGAGGCACGAAAGCUAGGGGAGCAAACAGGAUUAGAUACCCUGGUAGUCCUAGCCGUAAACGGUGCACGUUUGCUGUAAAAGGAAUCGACCCCUUUUGUGGCGUAGCCAACGCGUUAAACGUGCCGCCUGGGAAGUACGGUCGCAAGAUUA